rnacentral:rRNA from 1 species
GAUGAACGCUGGCGGCGUGCUUAACACAUGCAAGUCGAACGGAAAGGCCCAAGCUUGCUUGGGUACUCGAGUGGCGAACGGGUGAGUAACACGUGGGUGAUCUGCCCUGCACUUCGGGAUAAGCCUGGGAAACUGGGUCUAAUACCGGAUAGGACCACAUCUUGGAUGGUGUGGUGGAAAGUUUUUCGGUGUGGGAUGAGCUCGCGGCCUAUCAGCUUGUUGGUGGGGUAAUGGCCUACCAAGGCGUCGACGGGUAGCCGGCCUGAGAGGGUGUACGGCCACAUUAGGACUGAGAGACGGCCCAGACUCCUACAGGUGGCAGCAGUGGGGAAUAUUGCACAAUGGGCGCAAGCCUGAUGCAGCGACGCCGCGUGGGGGAUGACGGCCUUCGGGUUGUAAACUCCUUUCGCUAGGGACGAAGCGUUUUUGUGACGGUACCUGGAGAAGAAGCACCGGCUAACUACGUG